rnacentral:tRNA from 1 species
CUGGACGGUAGCGGGCGCCGCGGCCGCGCUGGUGCCGCUGGCAUGGUGGCUGGUUCCUGACCGCCCGUCCAGC